AAUCAACGCUGGCGGCGUGCCUAACACAUGCAAGUCGAACGCGAAAGUCCCGCAAGGGAUAAGUAGAGUGGCAAACGGGUGAGUAACACGUGGGUGACCUGCCUUCGAGUGGGGGAUAACGUCCCGAAAGGGACGCUAAUACCGCAUGACAUCCUGCUUUUUAAGAGGCGGAGAUCAAAGCCGGGGAUCGCAAGACCUGGCGCUUGAAGAGGGGCCCGCGCCUGAUUAGCUAGUUGGUGGGGUAAUGGCUCACCAAGGCUUCGAUCAGUA
rnacentral:rRNA from 1 species